GUGAGACACAAUGGAUGAAUCAUUUACUGAUCUUGAUUCUACUCUCAAUACUUGUACACUAUCAGUAGCUCCUCCUUUUCCUCCUACUCCAAUGAGAGCUCCUCCCACUAAAA